UACGUAGGGGGCUAGCGUUGUCCGGAAUCAUUGGGCGUAAAGAGCGCGUAGGCGGCUAGAUAAGUCCGGUGUGAAAGUCACAGGCUCAGCCUGUGAAUGCCGCUGGAAACUGUCUGGCUAGAGUCCGGAAGGGGCGAGUGGAAUUCCUGGUGUAGCGGUGAAAUGCGCAGAUAUCAGGAGGAACACCAAUGGCGAAGGCAGCUCGCUGGGACGGUACUGACGCUGAGGCGCGAAAGCGUGGGGAGCAAACAGG
rnacentral:rRNA from 1 species